rfam:Aedes albopictus isolate Foshan contig75803, whole genome shotgun sequence.
CAAACGGUCCUUUUAAGGACCAUCGAAAAUGAUUUUUCGAUAAUUUU